CCUACGGGAGGCUGCAGUGGGGGAUAUUGCACAAUGGGGGGAACCCUGAUGCAGCGACGCCGCGUGGGUGAAGAAGCGCCUCGGCGCGUAAAGCCCUGUCAGCAGGGAAGAAAAUGACGGUACCUGACGAAGAAGCCCCGGCUAACGACGUGCCAGCAGCCGCGGUAAUACGGAGGGGGCAAGCGUUAUCCGGAUUUACUGGGUGUAAAGGGGGCGCAGACGGCGAUGCAAGCCAGGAGUGAAAGCCCGGGGCCCAACCCGGGGACUGCACUUGGAACUGCGUGGCUGGAGUGCAGGAGGGGCAGGCGGAAUUCCUGGUGUAGCGGUGAAAUGCGUAGAUAUCAGGAGGAACACCGGUGGCGAAGGCGGCCUGCUGGACUGCAACUGACGUUGAGGCCCGAAAGCGUGGGGAGCAAACAGGAUUAGAUACCCCAGUAGUC
rnacentral:rRNA from 1 species